CUGCUGUCCCCCCCCCACCAAAAGGUGUCCCCUCCCCACGUCCCCGCGUCCCUUCCCAUCCCUGAUGUCCCCCAUGUCCGUCUCAUGUCCGUCUGUCCCCAUGUUCCCAUGUCCCCAUACACAACCCCAUCAAUGAUGUCCCCCACAUCCAUGUCCGUCUGUCCCCAUGUCCUUGUCCCCAUGUCCUUGUCCUUAUGUCCCCACACACAUCCCCAUCUCUGAUGUCCCCACAUCCACGUCCAUCUGUCCCCAUGUCCUCGUCCCCACGUCCCCACAGACCCCCCCACCUCUGACACCCCCACCUCCCCACAUCACCGUGUCUAUCCCACAUCCACCUGUCCCCACACCUUUGCCUCGAUGUCCCCACGUGUCCCCAAACCCCCCCCCCUGUCCCCCCCCACAUCCCCACCUACCCAUAUAACUGUCAUCAUAGGUGGCGGCCGCCUGGCGAGUCUGCAGCUGCCCAGCCACAUCCUGGAUGAAGUAUUCGGGGUAAUUGGAGGCAGCAAUUUGCUCCUGCGUCGCCGACAUCACCUGCCCUGAGAUGGGGGGGGGAAGGGGGGACACCUCAGCACCCAUGGGUGGUGGUUGGGGGGGGGGUAUUUGGGGGUCACGAGGGCAUUAAGGGACACACGGAAGGGUAGAGGAGGGGUUUGGAGGG
rnacentral:lncRNA from 1 species